UGGGGAAUAUUGCACAAUGGGCGCAAGCCUGAUGCAGCCAUGCCGCGUGUGUGAAGAAGGCCUUCGGGUUGUAAAGCACUUUCAGCGAGGAGGAAGGUGGUAAGCUUAAUACGCUCGUCAAUUGACGUUACUCGCAGAAGAAGCACCGGCUAACUCCGUGCCAGCAGCCGCGGUAAUACGGAGGGUGCAAGCGUUAAUCGGAAUUACUGGGCGUAAAGCGCACGCAGGCGGUUUGUUAAGUCAGAUGUGAAAUCCCCGGGCUCAACCUGGGAACUGCAUUUGAAACUGGCAAGCUAGAGUCUCGUAGAGGGGGGUAGAAAUUCCAGGUGUAGCGGUGAAAUGCGUAGAGAUCUGGAGGAAUACCGGUGGCGAAGGCGGCCCCCUGGACGAAGACUGACGCUCAGGUGCGAAAAGCGUGGGGAGCAAAACAGGAUUAGAUACCCUGGUAGUCCACGCUGUAAAACGAUGUCGAUUUGGAGGUUGUGCCCUUGAGGCGUGGCUUCCGGAGCUAACGCGUUAAAUCGACCGCCUGGGGAGUACGGCCGCAAGGUUAAAAACUC
rnacentral:rRNA from 1 species